UUCUAUGAGAUUGCGUAUUUGCUUUCUUGAAAUUUAGUAAUCAAAUAAGUUUGACACACCAC
rnacentral:misc_RNA from 1 species